ensembl:lncRNA
GUUUGCUCCACUGAUAUAAAGGUACGCACUGGCCUUAGCUAUACUUUGAGGUGCUCUCAGAUGCAAGUUGUUCCAUUUUAUUUCCAUGCUGUAACUCAUUAAAACUGUGUUUCACUCCAGCAUUCUGCUCAUUACAAUGGACAGAGAGAGUUUUGCUUCUGGGAAGCACAGUUAUAAUGAGGACAGAGUAUUCAGCACAAAAACAGCUCCUAAUAGCUCAUUAGGAAAAUUGACUAGUUAGGCAGAACUGUCAUGCCUUCACUUUGACUAAAUAUCUGAAAGGCUUUCCUUCUUCAAGGGCCAGAGACACCGAUGAUCCAACUGAGUCCCAACCAGGGCUGGAUGGGCUGGACAGGAGCUCUGGAUUCAUCCUAGAAAUGCAUCAGAGUUCCCAGUGGCCCUGCCUGAAGAGACAGCAAUGAGGAGGAGGACUUCAACAUAUAUUAAGGGUUUACCACAGCUCAGCAUUGCACCAGAUAGCUUAAGACUGCGGCUCCUCGCAAGCACUAGCUCUGAAUGGCUUGUUCAUCUUCAUAUCUCCCAUCACCACCAAACAGGUCCCCAAGAUUCAAAAUCCCAUCCCUCAAAGUCUUGCUUAAGACAAGAUUCAAGGCCAGGUGCAGUGGCUCACACCUCUAAUCCCAGCACUUUGGGAGGCUGAGGCAGGAGGAUUGCCUGAGGUCAGGAGUUCAAGACCAGCCUGACCAACAUGGUGAAACCCUGUCUCUACUAAAAAUACAAAAAUUAGUUGGGGAUGGUGGUGUGUGGUUAUAAUCCCAGCUAAUCGGGAGGCUGAGGCAGGAGAGUCACUUCACUUGAACCUGGGAGGCAGAGGUUGCAGUGAGACAAGAUCAUGCCACUGCACUCCAGCCUGGGCAACAGAGCAAGACUCCAGACUCCAUCUCCAAAAAAAAUAAAAUAAAAUAAAAUAAAUAACAAAAAAAGACAAGACCCAUUGUUUACGCACCCAUCUUCUCCAUCCCAGGUCAGAACGAGUCUUUUCUGUGUUCCUAAUACUACUAGCUCUAUUAUUAUCUGGAAGUGUUAACAGCAAUAAUAUGACAAUAAUUUUAGUAACAAUUAUUAAUAGCUAACUUCUGUUGAGUAUAUAUAAUAUGCCAAACACUGCUAAGCCCUUUACCUACUGUAUAUGCAUUUCACUUAUAUGAAUGUUAACUCACUUAAUCUUCAUAAUGACCCCACUCAGCAAGUCCUAUAAGGAUCCUUUGAUAUGUUGAUUACACUAAUGGCCACAAUGUCUUAUCCCUCCCAGUAUCUACACCCUUUGUCAUUUAACCCUACCUCCCACUAUGGACAGGGCAUCAUUUCACUGCUGGCCUGUGGGCUCAUCCAUCCAACUGGUUGUGAUCAAUGUAAUGUUAGCAAAUGGUACACAAGAAGAAGCCUAUAAAACAUUUGAAUAUUUCUGCUCACCCCUCUGAGAUGUCCAUGAGAAUGUGCCCAGGCUAGGAACAUGGUUGCAGCAAAGCUUACUUGUCACUAUAAUCAGAGCUAAGAUUACCCUAGAUAAGCCCACAACCAGCCAACCCCCAGAUAUGUAAGUGAAUCCAGAGAAGGGCAAAAGAAUUGUCCAGCCAAGUCUAACUUAAAUUCCUAAACUGCAAACUUAUUAGCAAAAUAAAUAUUUAUUGUUUUAAGGCAUUGAGUCUUGGAUGGUUUGCUAUGAAGCAUUGUUAUGGCAAUAGAUAAUUGAUACGUGGCCUCAUUUUAGAUAUGAGGGAGAUGAGACUUGGAGCCAUCCAGCUAAAUGACAAUUAUCAUACAACCAGUAAGAGUUGCAGGUUGGACCAAGUUCUUUUGGACUGUAAAGAUAGUUCUCCAAUCCAUAUGUAUCUAUCUAUCUCCCUAGUUUUUAACUGUGGAGUUGAGGAUAAGAAUAGUAAAUGAUUGAUACUUGUUUUCUAGUUACUUAGAGUUCCAAAUCACAGUAGAAAUCCAAUCAAUGUAUGUUGAAAUAUAUUAAGUUAAUCUAAAAGGAAUAUAAAUACAUCUUAAAAUGACAUAAGCCAUACUGACAUUUAUUUUUAAUGGUCACUGCUUCAUUUGACACUUCCUUGAAGGACAGGGGAAGUUUCAUAGAAUGGAC